rnacentral:rRNA from 1 species
UACGAAGGGGGCUAGCGUUGCUCGGAAUCACUGGGCGUAAAGCGCACGUAGGCGGAUUGUUAAGUCAGGGGUGAAAUCCUGGAGCUCAACUCCAGAACUGCCUUUGAUACUGGCGAUCUCGAGUCCGGGAGAGGUGAGUGGAACUGCGAGUGUAGAGGUGAAAUUCGUAGAUAUUCGCAAGAACACCAGUGGCGAAGGCGGCUCACUGGUCCGGUACUGACGCUGAGGUGCGAAAGCGUGGGGAGCAAACAGG